rnacentral:ncRNA from 2 species
GCGUCUGUAGUCCAACGGUUAGG